rnacentral:rRNA from 1 species
CCUACGGGAGGCAGCAGUGAGGAAUAUUGGUCAAUGGGCGCGAGCCUGAACCAGCCAAGUCGCGUGAGGGAAGACGGUCCUAUGGAUUGUAAACCUCUUUUGUCGGGGAGCAAAAGACGCCACGCGUGGCGUUCCGAGAGUACCCGAAGAAAAAGCAACGGCUAACCUCGUGCCAGCAGCCGCGGUAAUACGGAGGAUGCGAGCGUUAUCCGGAUUUAAUGGGGUUAAAGGGUGCGCAGGCGGAAGAGCAAGUCAGCGGUAAAAUUGAGGGGCUCAAACUCGUCGCGCCGUUGAAACUGGUUAUCUUGAGGGAGUGAGAAGUAUGCGGAAUGCGUGGGGUAGCGGUGAAAUG